CGCGGCCGAAUACGUUCCGGGCCUUGUACACACCGCCCGUCAAGCCAUGGAAGCUGGGGGUACCUGAAGUACGUAACCGCAAGGAGCGUCCUAGGGUAAAACUGGUAACUGGGGCU
rnacentral:rRNA from 1 species